rnacentral:rRNA from 1 species
UGCAAGUCGAACGAUGAACCUCACUUGUGGGGGGAUUAGUGGCGAACGGGUGAGUAACACGUGAGUAACCUGCCCUUGACUCUGGGAUAAGCCUGGGAAACCGGGUCUAAUACUGGAUACGACCUUCUGGCGCAUGCCAUGUUGGUGGAAAGCUUUUGUGGUUUUGGAUGGACUCGCGGCCUAUCAGCUUGUUGGUGGGGUAAUGGCCUACCAAGGCGACGACGGGUAGCCGGCCUGAGAGGGUGACCGGCCACACUGGGACUGAGACACGGCCCAGACUCCUACGGGAGGCAGCAGUGGGGAAUAUUGCACAAUGGGCGCAAGCCUGAUGCAGCGACGCCGCGUGAGGGAUGAAGGCCUUCGGGUUGUAAACCUCUUUCAGUAGGGAAGAAGCUGGCCUUUCGGGGUUGGUGACGGUACCUGCAGAAGAAGCGCCGGCUAACUACGUGCCAGCAGCCGCGGUAAUACGUAGGGCGCAAGCGUUAUCCGGAAUUAUUGGGCGUAAAGAGCUCGUAGGCGGUUUGUCGCGUCUGCCGUGAAAGUCCGGGGCUUAACCCCGGAUCUGCGGUGGGUACGGGCAGACUAGAGUGCAGUAGGGGAGACUGGAAUUCCUGGUGUAGCGGUGAAAUGCGCAGAUAUCAGGAGGAACACCGAUGGCGAAGGCAGGUCUCUGGGCUGUAACUGACGCUGAGGAGCGAAAGCAUGGGGAGCGAACAGGAUUAGAUACCCUGGUAGUCCAUGCCGUAAACGUUGGGCACUAGGUGUGGGGGACAUUCCACGUUUUCCGCGCCGUAGCUAACGCAUUAAGU